rnacentral:rRNA from 1 species
UACGUAGGGGGCGAGCGUUGUCCGAAGUUACUGGGCGUAAAGAGCGCGUAGGCGGACUCUUAAGUGAGGGGUGAAAGUCCGAGGCUCAACCUCGGAACUGCCUUUCAUACUGGGAGCCUUGAGUGCGGGAGAGGCGAGUGGAAUGGUUGGUGUAGCGGCGAAAUGCGUAGAUAUCAAUCGGAACACCCAUGGCGAAGGCAGCUCGCUGGCCUGUAACUGACGCUGAGGCGCGAAAGCGUGGGGAGCAAACAGG